AGAGUUUGAUCCUGGCUCAGGAUGAACGCUAGCGGUAGGCUUAACACAUGCAAGUCGAGGGGUAACAUUCUAGUUUACUAGAGAUGACGACCGGCGCACGGGUGCGUAACGCGUAUGCAAUCUGCCUUAUACAGAAGAAUAGGCCUAAGAAAUUGGGAUUAAUGCUUCAUGGGAUUGAGAAUCGGCAUCGAAAUUCAAUUAAAACUCCGGUGGUAUAAGAUGGGCAUGCGUAUGAUUAGCUAGAUGGUGAGAUAACGGCUCACCAUGGCGACGAUCAUUAGGGGUCCUGAGAGGGUGAUCCCCCACACUGGUACUGAGACACGGACCAGACUCCUACGGGAGGCAGCAGUGAGGAAUAUUGGGCAAUGGAGGCAACUCUGACCCAGCCAUACCGCGUGAAGGAAGAAGGUCCUAUGGAUUGUAAACUUCUUUUAUAUGGGAAGAAUAAGGUCUACGUGUAGGCUGAUGACUGUACCAUAUGACUAAGAACCGGCUAACUCCGUGCCAGCAGCCGCGGUAAUACGGAGGGUUCAAGCGUUAUCCGGAUUUAUUGGGUUUAAAGGGUCCGUAGGCGGACUAAUAAGUCAGUGGUGAAAUCCUAUAGCUCAACUAUAGAACUGCCAUUGAAACUGUUGGUCUUGAAUUAUUUUGAAGUUGGCGGAAUGAGUAGUGUAGCGGUGAAAUGCAUAGAUAUUACUCAGAACACCGAUUGCGAAGGCAGCUAACUAAGAAUAUAUUGACGCUGAUGGACGAAAGCGUAGGUAGCGAACAGGAUUAGAUACCCUGGUAGUCUACGCCGUAAACGAUGGAUACUAGUUGUCGGGAAAAUUGAGACUCGGUGGCUAAGCGAAAGUGAUAAGUAUCCCACCUGGGGAGUACGAUCGCAAGAUUGAAACUCAAAGGAAUUGACGG
rnacentral:rRNA from 1 species